CAGCCGUAAACUAUGCGCGUUAGGUGUAUCGGUGACCACGAGUUACCGAGGUGCCGAAGGGAAACCGUGAAACGUGCCGCCUGGGAAGUACGGUCGCAAGGCUGAAACUUAAAGGAAUUGGCGGGGGAGCACCACAACAGGUGGAGCCUGCGGUUUAAUUGGACUCAACGCCGGACAACUCACCGGGGACGACAGCAAUAUGUAGGCCAGGCUGAAGACCUUGCCUGAAUCGCUGAGAGGAGGUGCAUGGCGUAGACGUCU
rnacentral:rRNA from 1 species